CAGCUUCCACUGUAAACAGCCUGGCAUUGGCGGAAUCAUGGUCGACGCGAUGGUAAUGAUGGAUCAUACUUGGUUCCAAGUAAUUGAGAGUAAGUCUGGCCCAGAUCACACAUACAGUGCCUGUGCCCAAAAAACUCAAGUACCCCUCAAAAACGAGGAAGCAAGAGGGCAAUAAUAACUCCCACAAGAAAAACACCUAAACAUGAACAUAUAAGGAUUAAACUGGAUGAAAAAACCAGACACAACAAACGGUCCAUCGAAUAGAAAUCUUUUCUGAAAGAAUGACAGUCAGAAAUUACGAAAAGAUGGCGAGUCAGAAAACAGUUUCUGGAACAACUGUGCAAUUGCCAUGAACAACAUGUUUGGUGAAAAAAACAGAACAGGUUCCUGCUCUCCAAGAGAAGUUGCAGGGCAUAUAUUGUCUUCUUCAUUGAGAGGAAGUAUCGUUGUAGAACUUUUAAAUGAAAUUGAAUAUGCAGCAAAAGAAUGCUACAACAAGGACAGUGUUUUAGCCCAAAAGGAUUUCUGUGACCUGGCUGAAUUUAAAUGGCAUGAACUCAUUGAUGAACUAUUAGAGCAACAGCCACUGCUAGCUGAUAUUCUCUUGGCUGUGUCUCUACCAACCUCUAAGAUAGGGAAUACAAAAUCUGUUCAGAGACUAAUACUGGUCAUAUCUACUGUGUUUGGAAUGUUGAUGAAUACAGGAUACCAGGAGUUGUCGAGUCGUUACAACUCGUUAGUUCAAAAGAUAAUCGCAAUGACUUUAGCUAAAGAACAAACAUGCCCAAAAUUACAUUUAGUUUCAACUGUGUUUCUUUUUUUCUUCAAAUGUUUUGUUUAAGCCCAAAAACACAAAAUAUGACUUAACACCUUGUUUAUAGAAUGGAAUAUUGUAAAGUGUGCAAUUUAUAUUUAAUCAUUUUAUGAGUAACUCAAGAGAAAAUUUCAUUAAAAAGUUGCCAAACUCAGCUGUGAAUGAAUGUUUGUUUUAUAAAAUAUUCAAUGUAUGUAUUUUAAAUAUAUCUUUAUGUGUUUUAAAUAUUUCACAAUAUCUAAAUACACAUACAGUAAAAAACAUACCAGGUAUUAAAAAAAAUAAUUUCUUAGCCAGAAAUUAGCAAUAUACAUGUAUAGUUUCUUGCAAUUUGAUAAAAAAAAUAACAGUAUUAAACAUUAAAUUGUGUACUGUUUUCUUAACCCCAAGUUUGUGAAAUUAGGCAUUUGAAUGUUUAUGUUACUGUUCAUGACACAUGUUUCGUUUGGAAAUUAAGUAAAUCUUUUGGAACAUCUAUUUAAUAGCGCUGACCCAGGCUCUUAAGGUCCUUGAUGUUUUAGCUCAGAUGAGCUCAUAGGAUCGAUGAAUGUCUGUUGUCCGUCCUUCUUCUUUUUACUCCCCGUUGGUUUUUUUUUUCCUGCUCAUAGAUCGAGAAACUUGGUCAGGAUGAUUGUUUGGAGGAAUUGUAGGUCAAGUUCAAAGACGGGUCAUCAGGGGUCAAAAACUAGGUCACUAUGCCAUUGACAAAAAUUGGCUACCUGUACUAAGGUGAGCGAUAUAGGGCCAUUAUGGCCCUUUUGUUUUAAUUCUACCCUUAACACAAUCAGGAAUAAGUUUACAAAUCUUGCAAAAAAACAUUUCUUAUUUCUUGUCCAUUUCGUUUCAAUUUUUGAAUAAUUGUAGUUCUAUAUGUAAUUAGAACACCAUUUAAAUUUCAUUAAUAUACCUUACGUAAAAAUGUGUUAAAUUUGAUGUCAAAAGUGAAUUUCCCAGCAGGAUUCUCAGGGUUUGUAAUUCUUAACUAAUAAAUCAUUUUUAGCCUUAUAUAGAAGCAAAACAAAAUUGGUCCUGUCAAUUUCAUGAGUCAGUCAGGGAUCUCCAAACAAUAGAAAUUUUAAAGGGGCCUUUUCACAGAUUUUGACAUGUAUUGAAGCUUGUCAUUAAAUGCUUUAUAUUGAUAAAUUUAAACAUUGGAACUAAAAAAUCUCCAGUAAAAAACAACAAGAAUACAAUUUGAAAAAGGAAAAAAAGUAAGCCUCAACUGGACUCGAACCACUGACCCCUGAGGUCCUGGAGUAAAAAGUCACCCGCCUAGACCACUCGACCAAACAUGCUGAUGCUAUGACCGGAUGUAUUUUUUUAAUGAAAUAAGCAAUCCUCUUAGUUUCCCAAAUUAUAACGACAACAACAGAACUUUCCAAAUUAUUCAAUCGUUUGGCGUUGCAACGCUUUAUAAUUCCAAGGUUUUCAAAUUGUCAAAAGAUGCAUAUAAUGAAUAUUUUAGAGCAUGGUAAAUGUUCAGUAUUACUAUUUCCUCACAAAUAUCAUUGCUAAAACGAAAAUGUGCGAAUAUGAAACAUUUUUUGAUUUUUUUUUCAAUUUACCAAAGCGUGAAAAGGCCCCUUUAAGGUCAGCCUUAUAAAAGAUAAAUUGCUCUGCUACACAGCAGAUGUCAUAAAUAAGAUAUAAAAAAAUGUACCUCGUGA